UCUCUCUUUUCCAUGUUCUGACCAAAGAGCCAUGGUUUAUCUUGGCCGCCCGCCGCCCAUGGCACCCGCCCGCUCCGGCAAGCGCUCGAGGAUUAGUUCCGCCUCUCGCCACACGCUGCAAGCUCGAGCCCUAGCCAGCCGCCCUGCAAGCUCGAGCAGGGUGACGACCCCUCAUCUGUCGUCCUGGCCUGCUCCCCAACCUCUUCAUCGGGCUUAGGGGAGAUGCCGAGUCUAGAGCGGCAGGAUUUGGGCGUCGAGGGCGUCCAGAGUUGGCGGUGGUGCUGGAGGACUACCUUCAGUGGCUACCAGCCUUUGCUGCCACCAGCCGUCGACCCGGCAGCAAACUGUGCUCGCCUUUGCUGCUACAAUCUGUCACCGGCGCUGCUAACAAAGGACACCAGCGCUGCUACAAUAUGCCGCUGGCGAUGCUACAAUCUGUCGUCGGUGUAGCUUCAAUCCUUCCCCGUCGGUACUGCGAGCGGCCCGGCGCUGGUACAAUAUGCCGGUGGCGAUGCUACAAUCGGCCCCCGGCUUGCCGUCGACGCUGCUACCAAAGGACACCGGUGCUGCUACAAUAUGCCGCUGGCGGUGCUAUAAUCUGUUCUGUCGUCGGUGCUGCUACAAUCCGUGCACCGUUGGUGCUGCUUUCGUCAUCGUCGGCGCUGCUUCAAUCCUUCCCCGUCGGCGCUGCGAGCGGCCCGGCGUUUCUACUAUCCGCCCCAAGGCGCUUCCUGCGGCAGUUGCUACGAGCGGAGCCUGACGUUACUACUAGCAGUGGUUCCUUGCAGCCAUCGGCGCCCGACGUUUGCUACUAUGGACGCCAUGAGUUGUUGCGAGCUGCCUACCAGCGGGAGACCGGGAUGCUGCAAAGGUGCCGGCAGUCUUCUCCGGUGAUGGUUGGGCAACGCUCCCAUGGCGAACGGCGAUUGCUGCAAUGGCAGGCGAUGAAUGCUACUAUUGUGGACAGCGUCUGACCACGCGUGUCGUCUGCUAAGAUGGGGCUUGGACGGCGACCUCACCGGAGCUGGAUGGCGACCUCGCCGGAGCUGGAGUGCUGGAUGCGGGUCAUGGCCAAGCUGACCGCGCCUAUGGCGACGGGUUCAGGAUCGCCAUGCGCUUGAGAGAGUAAGCUGAUGCUUUGUCGGUUUCUGUUUUGGAGCUGCAGAACCUCUGGUGCGUUGCCUUUUUUCUUUCUGUUAAGCGCCGACUCCGAAUGAACGGGCUUAAUUAACCGCAUCUAACGGCUGGCGACCCAGGGAUUGGGGAUUUGAUCCCGGGGGGCGCUCAGCAUUGCCCUUUACCUAUUCUCUCCCCAUCUUCCCAACCCUAGCGCUGCGCCGCCACCAAUGCGCCGCCACCUCUUGUCCAUGUCGUCACCUUCGCUACCUGGCUCCCUGCCGCCUCUGGGUCCCCAACACUACUCAGCAGCUCCAGAUCCAAAUUUCUUCCCCUACCCGGCCGUCCUUCCCUCUGCAGUUGAAGCAUCCUUCGCUGCCACGGUGGUUCCCAAUUUAGUGCGGCGCAUCGGCCUCCACAGGACACCGCUGCUAGCGCUUCACCUGUAUCCAACCGUCUGCGUGACGUCGUAGACCUGAAGCACAUGUCUUCCAUCUCCGGUAUCUCCCUAAGAGCAUCUCCACUCGUCUCCCCACAGAGCCCCCACGGCCACUUUUUUUCAUCCGGACGGCGAAAAACGGCCCAGUCAGGCCCCUGGUUCCUCGUUUUGAUCCGGAUUUGAGCCUAUUUUCGUCCGGACUCCCCAUGCCAUCCCCGGCCCCCCGGGGAGCGCUCGGGGACUCCGGAUGAAGCUAAACCAACCGCCCACGCCCACGUGUCUCCUCUUUCGUCCGGAUUCCCCGAGCCGUCCUCUUUUUCCCCGAGAAACGCCGCUUGGGGAGCACACGACUGGAAAUAUACUGCCCCCCACGCCAAAUCUUCCUCCAAUCCGGACAAAAAUUUCGCCGGAUUUGGGCGUGGGGAGCGCCAACGAGUGGGGAUGCUCUAACCAAGGUAAGUUCCCCGAUCUGUACAUCCACAUCCACCUUUUUUUCUCCUUAUCUGGAGCAGUGAACGAUUGACAAGAAGUGUUGAUGAAAUUUUAAUAAUGGAGUAUCUGUAUGAGCCGUACGACUUUUCCACAUCUCUAGAUGCUCAUGUGUGUAAUCGUUAUAUGAUAAUUUUAAUACUGGAGUAUGUGUAUGAGCCGUACCACUUUUCCUCAUCUCUAGAUCUCCGUAUGUAUUCUUGAACUGGUGUUUAGCUAUUUAAAAUUUUCACGAUGAGCUGAUGUUUAUUCACCGGUUUGCAAAAAAAAAAACUAUUCAUUUCUGUGUACCCUUACGGCCUUACAGUAGAAGUAUCGACCUUUGUAGUACUAUUUCUUUUCUAGCACAAUAUUUUAUAUUUAUAAUAUUGUCUUUUGUAUGGUGGUCAAAUAAAGACACUCCAAGCUUCAAAAUCCUUCACUGUGUAUGUUUUUUAUGCUUAUGAUCUAGUAAUAACUCAAGUAUACUACCUUUUGACUGCACUAAAUCUCAGACUGGGCGCUAAUUAUAAUAAUGUUAAUUGCUUGACUGCUUUAUGGUCAGUUUUGCAGCAUGCUAGUGUUAGUAGCAUUGGCAAGUACUUGUUGUUUCAUUAGAGCUGUCACGGAUUUGUUAUCUAUGCACCCAACCAUAUGUUUCAAAAAUCAUUAUUCAUAUUAGUGUUCUUUUGAUCACUGCAGGUCAAGUAAAGGCAGUUUAUAAAUGGAAACUCAAAGAUGCAGAUUUGAGACAUUCACUGGAAUGGAUAUUCAGAAAUAUAAAUCAGAGAAGGAUCUGCCUCUUUAUGCCCUUCCGACUGGAGAACUCAAGAGCAUAAAUUGAGGAAGAAAUUGAUGGCGAAGAUGGCGAUGAAGGGGACGGAGAAGAUGACAAUGUUCAGAGAAGAAAAUUUGUUGCAAAUCCAAGAAACUCUUCAACCCAGCAAGAUGAAAGCCUUGUGUCCCAUUCUAAUAUGAAUUAUCAUGAUAAACUUUUCCCGCAAACCACCAAGUACCCGGACGUUUCCCAUCAAUAGAAUGAAUUGUGUAAUGGAGUAAACUUCGUCAUAUUGGUAGUCAUCUGCUUCCAUUUUGUAAACCUGGUUAUAUGGUAAUUAUUUGGCUUCCAUUUUGUAAGACCUGCUUAUAUGCGGUGACAACUUAUCUAUGUUUUGUUGACUACGUUGUAAUCAGUAGAGAACAUAUGAACAAUAAGUAUUGUAAGAAUUUAAUCUAUAUCAGAGUCAGGUGUGUGAUUCUUUUGUGA